AAUUAACGCUGGCGGCAUGCCUAACACAUGCAAGUCGCACGAGAAAGCCUCCUUCGGGGGGCGAGUAAAGUGGCGCACGGGUGAGUAACGCGUGGGUAAUCUACCUCGGUCCGGGGGAUAACGCACCGAAAGGUGCGCUAAUACCGCAUAACCCGGCGAAUCCUUGGAUUUGCCGGCAAAGGUGGCCUCUACAUGUAAGCUACCGGAUAGAGAUGAGCCCGCGUCCCAUUAGCUAGUUGGUAGGGUAAAGGCCUACCAAGGCGACGAUGGGUAGCUGGUCUGAGAGGACGAUCAGCCACACUGGAACUGGAACACGGUCCAGACUCCUACGGGUGGCUG
rnacentral:rRNA from 1 species